UACGGAGGGUGCAAGCGUUAACCGGAUUUACUGGGUGUAAAGAGUGCGUAGGCGGACACGUAAGUCAGGUGUGAAAUUCCGGUACUCACUACCGGAGCUGCACUUGAAACUGCGUGUCUUGAGGUCAGGCGGAGGAAGCGGAAUUCCAUGUGUAGCGGUGAAAUGCGUAGAUAUAUGGAAGAACACCUGUGGCGAAAGCGGCUUUCUAGCUUGAUACUGACGCUGAGGCACGAGAGCGUGGGGAGCAAACAGG
rnacentral:misc_RNA from 1 species